UGCAGAAACACUGUUGUGAGUUGAGUCAUCUCCCCUGUGCUGGGCACUAUGCUGGACAGUGCAGGUACAGAAGUGGUGAUCUUGCCACCAUUCCCUCCAGCCUCUCCUUAGGGCAGCUCAUAACAGGGCAGUCAGCGCCUCUCCAGAGCAAGCGAAGAAGAAAGAUGGAAGGCAGUCUUUUUGUAACCCAAUCUCAGAAGUGACAUCCUAUCAUUGUUGCUGGAUUCUGUUAAUUAGAAGUGAGCCAAGUUCACCGCACUCUCAAGGGGGGGAGAUUUGACAAAGGCAUGCAAAUCAGGAGGUACAAUCUUAGGGCAAGAACCAUGGAAACAGAUGUAUUAACAGGAGAUGUGUUUUUUUUUGUGUGUAAGAUGAGUAAGUUUUUGUUGUUGAAUCAAUUGAUUCUUUGUAAUAAAACCUAAAUGAAUAUCUG